rnacentral:rRNA from 1 species
AGCACCGGCUAACUACGUGCCAGCAGCCGCGGUAAUACGUAGGGUGCAAGCGUUAUCCGGAAUUAUUGGGCGUAAAGGGCUCGUAGGCGGUUCGUCGCGUCCGGUGUGAAAGUCCAUCGCUUAACGGUGGAUCCGCGCCGGGUACGGGCGGGCUUGAGUGCGGUAGGGGAGACUGGAAUUCCCGGUGUAACGGUGGAAUGUGUAGAUAUCGGGAAGAACACCAAUGGCGAAGGCAGGUCUCUGGGCCGUUACUGACGCUGAGGAGCGAAAGCGUGGGGAGCGAACAGGAUUAGAUACCCUGGUAGUCCACGCCGUAAACGGUGGAUGCUGGAUGUGGGGCCCGUUCCACGGGUUCCGUGUCGGAGCUAACGCGUUAAGCAUCCCGCCUGGGGAGUACGGCCGCAAGGCUAAAACUCAAAGAAAUUGACGGGGGCCCGCACAAGCGGCGGAGCAUGCGGAUUAAUUCGAUGCAACGCGAAGAACCUUACCUGGGCUUGACAUGUUCCCGACGGUCGUAGAGAUACGGCUUCCCUUCGGGGCGGGUUCACAGGUGGUGCAUGGUCGUCGUCAGCUCGUGUCGUGAGAUGUUGGGUUAAGUCCCGCAACGAGCGCAACCCUCGCCCCGUGUUGCCAGCGGAUUAUGCCGGGAACUCACGGGGGACCGCCGGGGUUAACUCGGAGGAAGGUGGGGAUGACGUCAAAUCAUCAUGCCCCUUACGUCCAGGGCUUCACGCAUGCUACAAUGGCCGGUACAACGGGAUGCGACACGGCGACGUGGAGCGGAUCCCUGAAAACCGGUCUCAGUUCGGAUUGGAGUCUGCAACCCGACUCCAUGAAGGCGGAGUCGCUAGUAAUCGCGGAUCAGCAACGCCGCGGUGAAUGCGUUCCCGGGCCUUGUACACACCGCCCGUCAAGUCAUGAAAGUGGGUAGCACCCGAAGCCGGUGGCCUAACCCUUUGUGGGAUGGAGCCGUCUAAGGUGAGACUCGUGAUUGGGACUAAGUCGUAACAAGGUAGCCGUACCGGAAGGUGCGGCUG